rnacentral:rRNA from 1 species
UACGUAGGGUGCAAGCGUUAAUCGGAAUUACUGGGCGUAAAGCGUGCGCAGGCGGUUGGGCAAGACAGAUGUGAAAUCCCCGGGCUUAACCUGGGAACUGCAUUUGUGACUGCCCGGCUAGAGUGUGUCAGAGGGGGGUAGAAUUCCACGUGUAGCAGUGAAAUGCGUAGAUAUGUGGAGGAAUACCGAUGGCGAAGGCAGCCCCCUGGGAUAACACUGACGCUCAUGCACGAAAGCGUGGGGAGCAAACAGG